GAUGAACGCUGGCGGCGUGCCUAAUACAUGCAAGUCGAGCGAACAGACGAGGAGCUUGCUCCUCUGACGUUAGCGGCGGACGGGUGAGUAACACGUGGAUAACCUACCUAUAAGACUGGGAUAACUUCGGAAAACCGGAGCUAAUACCGGAUAAUAUAUUGAACCGCAUGGUUCAAUAGUGAAAGACGGUUUUGCUGUCACUUAUAGAUGGAUCCGCGCCGCAUUAGCUAGUUGGUAAGGUAACGGCUUACCAAGGCAACGAUGCGUAGCCGACCUGAGAGGGUGAUCGGCCACACUGGAACUGAGACACGGUCCAGACUCCUACGGGAGGCAGCAGUAGGGAAUCUUCCGCAAUGGGCGAAAGCCUGACGGAGCAGCGCCGCGUGAGUGAUGAAGGUCUUCGGAUCGUAAAACUCUGUUAUUAGGGAAGAACAAAUGUGUAAGUAACUAUGCACGUCUUGACGGUACCUAAUCAGAAAGCCACGGCUAACUACGUG
rnacentral:rRNA from 1 species